UGGGGAAUUUUGGACAAUGGGCGCAAGCCUGAUCCAGCCAUGCCGCGUGAGUGAAGAAGGCCUUCGGGUUGUAAAGCUCUUUCGGCGGGGACGAAACGGUCCGUGACAACACCACGGACUAAUGACGGUACUCGCAGAAGAAGCACCGGCUAACUACGUGCCAGCAGCCGCGGUAAUACGUAGGGUGCAGGCGUUAAUCGGAAUUACUGGGCGUAGAGCGUGCGCAGGCGGCUCCUUAAGUCAGAUGUGAAAUCCCCGGGCUUAACCUGGGAACUGCGUUUGAAACUGGGGGGCUUGAGUGUGGCAGAGGGGGGUGGAAUUCCAGGUGUAGCAGUGAAAUGCGUAGAGAUCUGGAGGAACACCGAUGGCGAAGGCAGCCCCCUGGGCUAACACUGACGCUCAUGCACGAAAGCGUGGGGAGCAAACAGGAUUAGAUACCCUGGUAGUCCACGCCCUAAACG
rnacentral:rRNA from 1 species